rnacentral:tRNA from 1 species
ACUUUGAUAGCUUAAACAAGAGCAUAGCACUGAAGAUGCUAGGGUAACAGACUUUGUUUCAAGGUA